CGCCACUGCAGCAGCCCUGGGGCCACAUCUCUUCUUCUCCCCGGCCCCAGUGGCUUGCAGCUCCCACGCAGCCCCAGCAAGUGAACAGUGCUGCUCUCCUGCUGGCCAUCCAUUCCAGGGCAGUGGGCAGCAGGAAGCAUGCCCGGCAACCUGGGGCUCACCGUGGCCUUUCUCCUCCCCUGUAAGUGUGAUGGCCUCCCAGCAGUAACACAUGUUCUGCUGAUUGGCAGUCAUUCUUCCACAAGGUGUUAUUCCAUGCUGGGUUAAAACAGCCGGAGGCUGUCCUGGCAAGGAAGGACUGCAGUGCUGAGAGUGGCAGAAGGCAGGGGAGAGUAAAAUCUGAUUUCCAGCUGACAUCUCCUCACUGCUGCUUGCCUUCCUUUUUUGCCUCCAGGCAUGCUGUGGGGCCUUCAGUUGGAUCAGGAACCAGCUUUUAUCCUCAAGCCACCGCGGCAGAGCAGCACUGCUGAAUUUACUUGCAAAGUGACUGGCGGGUCGAGCUCCACCUACGUUCACUGGUAUCGAGCCUUGGGCGAUGGGCCGCCACAGCGGCUGCUCUACCUCUCCUUCUCCAAACCGGACGCUUACCGGGAGGCUGGUGUCUCUCCUGAGAAGGUUGCAGCCUUUUUCCCCUCCACAGGCAUCUGCAAACUGGUGGUGCACAAAGUGGGAAGUGCAGAUAGUGGUCGCUAUUACUGUGGAGUGUGGGAGCUCACACGGCUCUCUGGGCUGCCGCAGCUCUUGCACAAGAAGCACAGGGAAUGAUUUCUUGCUACAAGCUCCUCCUUUCUGCAUUCCCCACCUUGCAGCAACAUGUGCUGAUGGCUUCUCAGCUGGAGCAGGAGCUAGGCCAUGCCACGACCCAGCCAAACAGCAGAAGCAAGCCCAUCUGCAAAGUGACUGCUGGAUCAACCCCCACUUAUACUCACAGGUACUGAGUGAUGCCUACACCCCAGAGAGACUGCUCCCUCUCUCACGCUCUCUGGUGCUUACUUUUUAUGGCAAGUCAGCUUCCCUAGAGGCAAACCGCCAGCUGCUGUGAGCACAGACACCUGCAUCCUAUGAGUGCACAGCCUGGAAGACAGUGAGUGAUACUCCUGUGCUGCAUGGAAGUAUGCACAAAACUACAAGUCUCUCUGAGUCCUGAAAAGAAACUACCACAAUGAAAUCAUGUGAGAGCUAUUCCCAAGGACUAACCUCCCACUUGCAUGGUCAUAGCGGCUCUAUCCCCUCUUGGAGCUUGGGACCACUCUCCCUGGACUCUUCCCACAGGCUUGUAGGCAGGGAGCUUGGUAAGCACGUAUUCAUGCAGACUUCCUCCUCCUGGCCCUGCUCAUU
rnacentral:lncRNA from 1 species